rnacentral:lncRNA from 1 species
UAUAGAUAAGUCCUACUACAAAAUGCAAGCAUAAACAAAAAUGAAUAAAAUUGACUUUAUUUAAUAUAAAGUUCAUUCAACAACAAAAAAAAUCCAAAAAUACAUCUAUAGUUUGAUUGAACACACUGAAACUGUAAUGAAGGUAGUAUGACUCAUGAUUUAAAUAUGAAUCAACUCUUCAAGUAUUUCGUAAUUUCAAAAGCACAACUUUUACAACAAUAUUAGAUUGGAUCUCAGAUUUGAUAUAUAUUUGAAAUAGAAACCAGAAAUCAGUCAUACUGAUCUGUCAAUGACACAGCCACCUUCAUAAGUUUCACAGUCACAUAACAGAGUCCACCACCACCACUGCCACGGCCUCAGGUAUAUCCGCCAUCCACCAUAUCUUUCUUUAAGUAAACUGUUGAUUAGUUAGGGUUUUUGAUUUAAGUAUGAACUCUUACAACAUCUGCAUUCUUCACCUUGCUUUUCUGGUUCCUUAUAUGGGGGAAAUAAUAAGAUUUUAUAAAGAAAGAAAAUUUGUGAUUUCAUUGUUUGUAGUAGGAGAGAUGAUAUAUAUUGACUAGGUGAGGCUGCUGUUCAUCACUGAGUGCCCAACAGUGCGCUGAAGAUAUUUUAUUUUUCUAACCUUUCCAGGUGGAGGUAUUAUCUAGUUAAAAAGGGUUUUGUUUUGGAAUAUUUUUAAUGUUUACUGAUUUACUCCAAGCGUGGGAGAUAUAUAUGUUCAUGUUUGCACUUGAUAGCAACAUAUAGCAAACACUUGUUUCUUUAAUAUAUAUAUAUAUAUACACAUAUAUCUCUGGGAAAGGACCUGAAUAUCCCUAUAACUUUUUGUAUCAGAAUGACUAAUGAUUAUAUUUAUUUAAGCAUGUAGAGCAGGGUAACUCUUCUCUCAAUUGAUGUGAAUGUGAGCUUUAACUUUAUAAUACAAUCAGAAACUACAAUUCAACACCAGAUGCACUUGUUAAUCAAGAUCAAUUUUAUUUCCAACG